GACGAACGCUGGCGGCGUGCUUAACACAUGCAAGUCGAACGGAAAGGCCCUGCUUUUGUGGGGUGCUCGAGUGGCGAACGGGUGAGUAACACGUGAGUAACCUGCCCUUGACUUUGUGAUAACUUCAGGAAACUGGGGCUAAUACCGGAUAGGAGCUCCUGCUGCAUGGUGGGGGUUGGAAAGUUUCGGCGGUUGGGGAUGGACUCGCGGCUUAUCAGCUUGUUGGUGGGGUAGGUGCUUACCAAGGCUUUGACGGGUAGCCGGCCUGAGAGGGUGACCGGCCACAUUGGGACUGCGGUACGGCCCAGAAUCCUACGGGAGGCAGCAGUGGGGAAUAUGGCACAAUGGCCGGACGCCUGAUGCAGCAGCCCCGCGUGCGUGAUGACGGCCUUCGGGUUGUAAACAGCUGUCGCCUGUGACGAAGAGUGAGUGACGGUAAUGGGUAAAGAAGCACCGGCUAACUACGUG
rnacentral:rRNA from 1 species